rnacentral:rRNA from 1 species
UACGUAGGGGGCAAGCGUUGUCCGAAGAUCAUUGGGCGUAAAGCGCGUGUAGGCGCCAGAAAAGUCCGCUGUGAAAACUCGAGGCUCAACUUCGAGCUGUCGGUGGAAACUUUCUGGCUAGAGUCCGGAAGAGGAGAAUGGAAUUCCUGGUGUAGCGGUGAAAUGCGCAGAUAUCAGGAAGAACACCCGUGGCGAAGGCGGUUCUCUGGGACGGUACUGACGCUGAGACGCGAAAGCGUGGGGAGCGAACAGG